AGUUCUAAGGUUGGGGGCAGACAUUUAAUGGUUCUAAGCAAGAGGAGUUACAAAAAAUUAGCUUUGUAUUUGGAAGAGAUUGAGACCAGACAAAAAGACACCAAUUAAAAGGCUCUGACCUCCAAGGCCCCUUCAAAGAAAGAAUCGAAGAAUACCAAAACUCAGAGGGAGUCAAAGGAGAAACAGAAAAAGCACCUGAACCGGGGCUGAUGAAAAGUAUCAACAAAAGGUCUUGCAGGAUUCUGAAUAGAAGAUUCAAAAGGAAAUUUUUAAUGACCGUGCCUGUAUUUGAGCAAUUUUCCCCAAGAUGCGCUUUGGUAAAUUCCCCACAUUUUCUAACUGCAAGAAUUCAUCAGACCUCAGGAAAUUUUCUCCUAUACCUUUUACCUUUCCAACAGCGACAACAUACCCUCACCCAAAAAGAGAAACUUUAAGUGAAAUUGAGGUCACUGCCUAUGCUUGGAUCAGCUCUGAAUACAGUCCCUUGGUGUGUG